rnacentral:rRNA from 1 species
UGAGGAAUCUUGCGCAAUGGGGGAAACCCUGACGCAGCAACGCCGCGUGAGUGAGGAAGGUUUUCGGAUCGUAAAGCUCUGUCAGGUGGGAAGAAAUGUAUAGGGGUGAACAGCCUUUAUACUUGACGGUACCACCAGAGGAAGCACCGGCCAACUCCGUGCCAGCAGCCGCGGUAAUACGGGGGGUGCAAGCGUUGUUCGGAAUCAUUGGGCGUAAAGAGCGUGUAGGCGGCCGGAUAAGUCAGAUGUGAAAGCCCUGGGCUCAACCUGGGAAGUGCAUUUGAAACUGUCCUGCUAGAGUAAGGGAGAGGGAAGUGGAAUUCCUGGUGUAGAGGUGAAAUUCGUAGAUAUCAGGAGGAACACCGGUGGCGAAGGCGACUUCCUGGCCCUAUACUGACGCUGAGACGCGAGAGCGUGGGGAGCAAACAGG